CUCAGCAGUACCCAUUCCCUAGCUCCCUGCCCACCAAAUUGUCCAUUAAAAACCCUAAUCUCUGAGCCUUCAAGGAAACUGACUUGAGGAGUAACACCAUCUUCUGUGUGCCUGGCCUUGUGUCAAAUUUUUCUCUACUGCAAUGCUGAGGUCUCAGUAAAUCGAUUUUUGUCUGUGCAGUGGGCUGGAAGGAGUCAACAGGGACAAGGUGUCACCAUGUUGCCCAGGCUGGUCUUGAACUCCUGGGAUCAAGGAAUCCUCCUGCCUCAGCCUCCCAAAGUGCUAGAAUUAGAGACGUGAGGCACCACACCACCUACCUUUAUAUUUAAGCAACAGUUUGACUGCAUACAAAAUUCCUGGGUCACAUCUCUUUGCUGGAGGAUUUUAUUGGUAUGUAUACAUAAUGUCUUCUAAGAACAAAUGCUGUGGAGAAAUCUGAAAUCAGCCUGUUUUUCUCAUUAUAAGUGAUUUAUUCUCUGGCUUUUAAAUAAUUCUUUUUGAAAUCUAAUAAUUUUAUCAGGACAUAGAUUGCUCUUGACUACUUGGAAUCUUUUUUAGUAAUAUGCCAUUUUACAUUUUUAGACUCGUUUCCUUUUUCUCUGCAAUUUUUUAAAAAUUAUAUUUUAAAUUUGUUUCCCUGUUUCCUUAUUUUUUUUUUCUUUGCUUUCAAGAUCUGUGGGUAUAUGCUUCUCACCAGUUCUGGGAAAUUCACAGCCAUUAUCUCUUUACACAUUGCCUCUACUCUUUUCUCACUAUCUUUCUAAUUGAAACUAAGUGUAUGUUAAAUCUUCUUGAUGCAGAACUGCUGGGCUCCAGGCUAAACUUCACCCUCAAGCCUGGAACCUCAGUCCUAAGUGAAACAGCUGACCCCAUUUUUUCCACCCAAAUGAUUGCUUUUUUGGCCCGCUCCACCCCCUGUCAUAUGCCUAUAAAUACCAGACCAGCUAGCAGAACAAAAGGAAGAAAAAGAGCAACCUCAGCAGCUGAUGCAAGUGGUCGGGGAUACAAGCUGCUGAGCAUCAGGAAUACAUGCAGCUGAGCAUCGGAAACUACAGAUAGACACGGCUUCAGAGAAAGAGCAGUUUCUUCCCAUACCAUCCCCUUUCCAAUUCCCCAUCCUGCUGAGAGCCACUUUUAUCACACAGUAAAAUCUUCCAUAUACACUA
rnacentral:lncRNA from 1 species